GAGUUUGAUCCUGGCUCAGAACGAACGCUGGCGGCAGGCCUAACACAUGCAAGUCGAACGAGAAGCUUCUUCGGAAGUGGACAGUGGCAGACGGGUGAGUAACGCGUGGGGAUCUGCCCAGAGGUUCGGGACAACCAUUGGAAACGAUGGCUAAUACCGGAUAAGCCCGCAAGGGGAAAGAUUUAUCGCCUUUGGAUGAACCCGCGUAAGAUUAGCUAGUUGGUGAGGUAAUGGCUCACCAAGGCUACGAUCUUUAGCUGGUCUGAGAGGAUGAUCAGCCACACUGGGACUGAGACACGGCCCAGACUCCUACGGGAGGCAGCAGUGGGGAAUUUUGCACAAUGGGCGCAAGCCUGAUGCAGCAACGCCGCGUGAGUGAAGAAGGCUCUUGGGUUGUAAAGCUCUUUCGGCUGGGAAGAGGGGUGCUGUGGUGAACAAUCAUAGUGCUUGACGGUACCAGAAGAAGAAGCACCGGCUAACUCCGUGCCAGCAGCCGCGGUAAUACGGAGGGUGCAAGCGUUGUUCGGAAUGACUGGGCGUAAAGCGCACGUAGGCAGGGCCGUAAGUCGGAUGUGAAAGCCCAGGGCUUAACCCUGGAAUUGCAUUCGAAACUGCGACUCUUGAAUGCCUGAGAGGGUGAUGGAAUUCUAGGUGUAG
rnacentral:rRNA from 1 species